CACGUAGGGAGCAAGCGUUGUCCGGAUUUAUUGGGCGUAAAGAGCUCGUAGGCUGUUCGAUAAGUCGGGUGUGAAACCUCCAGGCUCAACCUGGAGACGCCACCCGAUACUGUCAUGACUAGAGUCCGGUAGGGGAGCGUGGAAUUCCUGGUGUAGCGGUGAAAUGCGCAGAUAUCGGGAAGAACACCGGUGGCGAAGGCGGCUCUCUGGACCUAUCCUGACGCUCAGGCGCGAAAGCUAGGGGAGCGAACAGG
rnacentral:rRNA from 1 species